AGUGAACGCUGGCGGUAGGCCUAACACAUGCAAGUCGAACGGCAGCACAGUAAGAGCUUGCUCUUACGGGUGGCGAGUGGCGGACGGGUGAGGAAUACAUCGGAAUCUACUUUUUCGUGGGGGAUAACGUAGGGAAACUUACGCUAAUACCGCAUACGACCUACGGGUGAAAGCAGGGGAUCUUCGGACCUUGCGCGAUUGAAUGAGCCGAUGUCGGAUUAGCUAGUUGGCGGGGUAAAGGCCCACCAAGGCGACGAUCCGUAGCUGGUCUGAGAGGAUGAUCAGCCACACUGGAACUGAGGCACGGUCCAGACUCCUACGGGAGGCAGCAGUGGGGAAUAUUGGACAAUGGGCGCAAGCCUGAUCCAGCCAUACCGCGUGGGUGAAGAAGGCCUUCGGGUUGUAAAGCCCUUUUGUUGGGAAAGAAAAGCAGCAGGUUAAUACCCCGCUGUUCUGACGGUACCCAAAGAGUAAGCACCGGCUAACUUCGUG
rnacentral:rRNA from 1 species